ACCUAUCAACCCGUCAUCUAGGUUUUAAACCCCGCAUGCAUUAGGUACUUGUCCUAAUGCUCCCCCUCCGCUUGCCCCCCACCCACCGAUAGGACCCGGUGUGUGAUGUUCCUCUCCCUGUGUCCAGGUGUGUUCCCAUUGUUCAACUCCCACCCCUGGACACUCGCUUUUUCACCCUCCUGCCAGCUUUUCUGCUUAGACCUGGACACAGAGUGCAGCGGGAAACUUUCAGCUCUCACACAUACCUAUCAAGCAUUUAUUGAGCUCCUGUGAACACAGACACUCCUGCUCUCUCCAGGAAGCGCUCCCGGCUCAGGGCGCCUUGGGUCCGUGGCGCCACCUGCUGUUCUCGCGGCGCCAGCGCAGUCUGCGAGGCCGUCCCAGCUCUUUCCACCCGAGCGCGAGGUAGACGCCGGGGCCACCCGCAGCACGCAGAGCUUCUGGGAGCCGGUGGCAAGGCCGAAUUGGGAUGCAAACCAAAUGGACGUGGGUGACUGGCAGAAAACGCCUCCCACAAAUGGGAGGGAUUUCGGAGGGAACCGAAAGAAAGUUGCCUGAUUCUUCCAACCAUGGCCCUCAUAUUGAAUUCACCAUCCUCUCUCAUCCUGCAUUUAAGCCCUGCAACGGGCUAGCUUGUGUCUUCCCAAAAUCUAUAUGUGGAAGUCCUAACACCCAGUACCUCAAAAUGGGACUGUGUUUGGACACAGGGCCUUUAAGGAGGUGAUCAAGGCAAAUGAGGUCAUAUGGGUGAGCCCUAAUACGAUAUGACUGCUGUUCCCAUAAGAAG
rnacentral:lncRNA from 1 species